AUUGAACGCUGGCGGCAUGCCUUACACAUGCAAGUCGAACGGUAACAGGUCUUCGGAUGCUGACGAGUGGCGAACGGGUGAGUAAUGCAUCGGAACGUGCCCAGUAGUGGGGGAUAGCCCGGCGAAAGCCGGAUUAAUACCGCAUACGACCUGAGGGUGAAAGGGGGGGAUCGCAAGACCUCUCGCUAUUGGAGGGGCCGAUGUCAGAUCAGCUAGUUGGUGGGGUAAAGGCCUACCAAGGCAACGAUCUGUAGUUGGUCUGAGAGGACGAGCAGCCACACUGGGACUGAGACACGGCCCAGACUCCUACGGGAGGCAGCAGUGGGGAAUUUUGGACAAUGGGCGCAAGCCUGAUCCAGCAAUGCCGCGUGCAGGAAGAAGGCCUUCGGGUUGUAAACUGCUUUUGUCAGGGAAGAAAUCUUCUGGGUUAAUACCUCGGGAGGAUGACGGUACCUGAAGAAUAAGCACCGGCUAACUACGUGCCAGCCGCCGCGGUAAGAC
rnacentral:rRNA from 1 species